CUUCCUUUCGACCUGCCUCAUCAACUCAGCAAAGCCUUCUUUGAUAUUUUUGUCAAUCUUGUCGCCGAUAAACCGUUCCAUUUCAGCUCGAAACUGGUUCUGGGAUUCUACCACAAAGUUCCUCAAAUCGCUACCAUGGCCCUGGUUGUCGACUCCUUCGAGGCUAUACUGUUCUUGGAUCGGAUCUAGCUGGAUGUGUGAAAAAAGUGUGAAACGGCAUUGGUUGCAGUGGGGGACAAGUGAAUGAUCCUGCGUUCCCUACAGGGGUCUUAAGGAAACAGAAGGGGAAAGAACUACUAUAAACUGUCCCAUCCCCUACGGUGAACUGAUCUGCGGCGCUAUUUCUCUAAUGGACUGUCCUCGACCUUGGAACAUGAUAACAACAUUUAACGUUUAACACAAAACAAUGACAGAGACGACUCUUUCCAACUUCGACUCAGUCGAAGUUUGGGAGCCAAGGGUGUCAUUUUAUUUAGUAAUCAAAAAUCCAUGUUUCUUCACUCACCAUCAUCCCAUCGACCUCUCGAUACAUCUUAACCGCCGUUCGUCAGUCAAGGACACCGAGGAAUCAUCCAGAAGCUUCUGAGACUCCUGUUCUUAAGAAACUCAGGACUCCGGAUUUCGGUUGUAUUGGCGACUGCCUGAAGAAAAAGGAUCUUUUUAC